rnacentral:rRNA from 1 species
UACAGAGGGUGCAAGCGUUGUUCGGAAUUAUUGGGCGUAAAGCGCGUGUAGGCGGCUUUGCAAGUCGGGUGUGAAAGCCCCCAGCUUAACUGAGGAAGUGCGCCCGAAACUGCUUGGCUUGAGUACCGGAGAGGAUGGCGGAAUUCCCCAAGUAGAGGUGAAAUUCGUAGAUAUGGGGAGGAACACCGGUGGCGAAGGCGGCCAUCUGGACGGAUACUGACGCUGAGACGCGAAAGCGUGGGUAGCAAACAGG